UGGGGAAUAUUGCGCAAUGGCCGAAAGGCUGACGCAGCGACGCCGCGUGGGGGAUGAAGCAUUUCGGUGUGUAAACCCCUGUUGCCCGGGACGAACAAGCAGAUUUUUCUGCUCUGACGGUACCGGGUGAGGAAGCACCGGCUAACUCCGUGCCAGCAGCCGCGGUAAUACGGAGGGUGCGAGCGUUGUCCGGAAUCACUGGGCGUAAAGGGCGCGUAGGCGGUCUGCUAAGCGUGCGGUGAAAGCCCGGGGCUCAACCCCGGGUCUGCCGUGCGAACUGGUGGACUAGAGCACUGUAGAGGCAGGUGGAAUUCCGGGUGUAGCGGUGGAGUGCGUAGAGAUCCGGAAGAACACCGGUGGCGAAGGCGGCCUGCUGGGCAGUAGCUGACGCUGAGGCGCGACAGCGUGGGGAGCAAACA
rnacentral:rRNA from 1 species